rnacentral:lncRNA from 10 species
GGGGAAGAGGACACAGCAUGGCCCAAGGGUGCUGCACUUGGGAACGGAAUGAACAAUCAGGAGCUGUGGAACCAGGCUUUGUAGUUACUUUGAACUGAGGACACGUGGGGAACAAGAGUUGCAGGCAGAGGCUUUCUCGAAGCAUCCUCCAAUCUGCCUGAAGAUGAAUCCUCCAAAAGGAAUUCGAUUGUCAAGAAUCCCCUUUCUGGGAAUCUUAUUAACCAUAUCAACCAGGGAAGAUGAACUUGGAUUGCAGUGGAGGAGACUAGAGGUUGA